UGGGGAAUCUUGCGCAAUGGGCGAAAGCCUGACGCAGCGACGCCGCGUGGGGGAUGAAGCUUCUCGGAGUGUAAACCCCUUUCGACCCGGACGAAACUCCCGCAAGGGAUUGACGGUACGGGUAUAAGAAGCCCCGGCUAACUACGUGCCAGCAGCCGCGGUAAGACGUAGGGGGCCAGCGUUGCUCGGAAUUACUGGGCGUAAAGGGUUCGUAGGCGGUGUGGCAAGUCGGAAGUGAAAUCUCCAGGCUUAACUUGGAGGCUGCUCCCGAAACUGCCAUGCUAGAGUGCGGGAGAGGCGAGUGGAAUUGCAGGUGUAGCGGUGAAAUGCGUAGAUAUCUGCAGGAACACCCGUGGCGAAGGCGGCUCGCUGGACCGCAACUGACGCUGAGGAACGAAAGCUAGGGGAGCAA
rnacentral:rRNA from 1 species